rnacentral:rRNA from 1 species
ACGGCGAGUGAAGAGGGAAGAGCCCAAGAUUGAAAGCUGGCGUCUUCGGCGUCCGCAUUGUAAUCUCAAGAAGUGUUUUCCGCUUCGGACCAUGCCUAAGUCCCUUGGAAAAGGGCAUCAUAGAGGGUGAUAAUCCCGUACAUGGCAUGGAGCGCCCGAAGCUUUGUGAUACGCUUUCUAAGAGUCGAGUUGUUUGGGAAUGCAGCUCAAAAUGGGUGGUAAAUGCCAUCUAAGGCUAAAUAUUGGGGAGAGACCGAUAGCGAACAAGUACAGUGAUGGAAAGAUGAAAAGAACUUUGAAAAGAGAGUUAAACAGUACGUGAAAUUGCCAAAAGGGAAGGGUAGGAGGUCAGAGAUGCGUCUUGGGAUUCAGCCUUGCUUUUGCUUGGUGUUUUUCCCAAGUUGCAGGCCAACGUCGGUUUUGGGCACUGGAGAAGGGUGGAAGGAACGUGGCACCUCUCGGGGUGUGUUAUAGCCUUCCACUGGAUACAGCGACCGGGACCGAGGACAGCAGCGUACUCGCAAGAGCGGGCCUUCGGGCACCUUUACGCUUAGGGCGUUGGCAUAAUGGCCCUCUACCACCCGUCUUGAAACCCG